rnacentral:lncRNA from 1 species
AAAAAGGCUUUCGCCCCGCUAUAUUGAUAUAGCAACCGCCCGAUACAACAAAGAGUUCAAUGCUGGGGCAAACAGCACAAGCAUGCCCAAAAGAAACAAAAGAGAAAGAAGAGAGAAAAUAAUGUCCACAGCGUCGGAUCGACGAAAACGAUGAUAACCCAAAACCGUUGCGCCCACCGGAGAUGUACCACCUCGCUCCAGGCACCUCGAACCUCCACAUACCAAGCAGCACCUUCAGGAAGGAACACGACGACGACGACGCUGCUGCCCGGACAGGUCCUAGGGUUUCCCCUGGUACGCGGAGGGGCGUGGGGAAGGGGAAGACCCGACGCCCUUCAGCAAGGAACGAUGGCGCCCACGGGCGUCACCGCGUCGGUGCCGGCAAGCCGGCCCGGAUUUCUCCCAUCCGCCAAACACCCACAACCCCAAACGGUCCAACGCGCACCACCAGACAAGCCACC